UCUCAGACCAACUCUGUUGUAUUGGAGCCUUAGCCGGGUUGUACCUGAACACACCAUUCCCCUGCUUGCAAAGGUGUUGGAGGACCGUAUAGGUCGGUUACAUGGCCAGUUACAACGGUUACAGCAACAGAGGCUGAACUCUGGCAACCACAACGCUUCUCUUGACAUGUCUGUACUCAACUGUCUGCAUGAAGACAUCCACUGGCUCAUCCUCAUAUCAGCACAUGUCCUGACUGAAGAGUCUGAAGGCGAGACCCCCAUGAUUCCGUCCGAUGUCAUGAACUACUCAAUCAGCCAGUCACAGAACGUCAACGUCCAGACCACAUUGCAGGUCCUGGCGUCACCUGGGGAGACCCUCAGC